AGGAGCAGUGGGAACACAACUGGAGAGGUUUCUGGUAGGCAACAUCUCCAGCUGCUACCACUGAACCAAGGUUCAAGAGACAGAUGCAAGAACUGUGGUGUGGGGACCUGCAGUGACACUAAAGCAGCCCAAACAGCACUGCAGCAGGGCAGGGCAUGGAGCAGCAGGGUGACUUCUGCUGGAGAAAGCAGCCUGGCAGGGAAGCAGUGCCUAACUGAGAUAAGUGGUUUUUAUUCAUUCUGUUUCCAUGUCUCCACUAUUUUUAAUGACUGUUGAAAUAAAGGGUUUGGAAGCAAAGUC